UACCUUGUUACAGCUUUUAAGGAAAAAUAAAUCAACUGUAUAACCAAUUUACGGAAUAAUGAUUAAAUCUAGUUAAAAAUAAUCACCAUCUUUGAUUAUCCAAGGCAACUAUAUCAACAGAAAAAAAACACUAAACACAAAGUCGCCAUUUCUCUCUUUCAUAACCACUUAUAGCCAAGUGCCAUUUUGAUGAUCUAUUUUGAUUUUGUUAUCAGCUUUUACAUUUUUUUUGCUGUUACCAGAAAAAAUUAAAAUGUCUAUCAAUCGACCAACACUUUCUUUUUUUGCCGUUCUUCUACUGAAUACUUAUUUAUCAUCAAAUAAUCAACAUGAAGUGAUUUAAGGAUUCAUGGUUUGCUAAACAGAAUGAUAAACCUGAUUGGUUACACAUUCACACAACAAUCCGCUAUUAAAGGGAGUAAACAAGGUUACUGUUAAUCUAGGAACCAGUGCCAGUUACUAUUUUUGAGAUUUUUUUCUGUUCCUGGAUUCUGCCUAAACCACAAUUUAAUGUGUCAAGCUGAUGUAAUGUUUAUUAAACAUUGAUCAAGAGUGAUUCAAAAUAUGCUCCAGAAGUUUAUUUAAUAUGGAUAAAAUGGUUACUUAAUGGUUUGAUGUUGCUUAUGCAAAGAAAAGGAGAAACAAGACGUGAACAAUAAUCACGUGACGGUUUAUUAAUUAAUCCAAUAGAGAUCGAGGUUAAACACAACGGAGUUAUACUUAUUUCCAUUGUAAUUGAAUCAACUUUGCGUUUUUUUCAUCAAUCACCAGUAGCAUCCAGCCUCACGAUCAUUAUCAUCUUCUCACUUUCUUUCCUCUUCAUGAGAAUUGGAUCGUUGCAACAGCUCGUUUCAUCUUAUUUUUACGUUAUACCAAAUGACAUUCUAACUUAAUUUGAAUCAUUUAAUCAUCAUUUGUGACUGAUUUGAAACAAAAACAAGGAAAAGCUCUUUUUUGUUUACUACUGUGCCAUUGCCAUCUCAAUAUUACCACCAACAUCAUCCAGCACUACCAACGAUAUUAUCAAGAGCUUCACUAACAUAGAAAAUUAAAAUGUGAUCAACAUCUGAACAAGUUUGUUUUCAACACUUAUGUAUGUUUCCAGUGUUAACAGAAUAUUCAGUGUUGUUUUUCACCUAAAAUAAUGAUCAACUGAACAAAAGGAGAGCAAAUUUGUAUACAAUCAACUUUCAUGUUCAUCAUUGAAUUUAAAAUUUACGCGACCAACGUACUUCUAUGCAUCUCAGCUUUUGACUGAAUUUAUUUUUCCUUUUUUUCUUUUUGUUAUUCUUCCUGGUGUAGCCAUGUUUUCCUAUUACGCUUUAGAAACGUGGUUAUUCUCAUUUUUCGCUCUCCUAUUGUUAGGAUUCAUCAUCUACUACACUCGUCGGUUAAUAACUAUAAUUGCUGAUAUAAGAGAAUCAAAAAAAGUCUCCUACAAACCAUGGGAAAUGGAGAGUAAGUUGGGUGUUAAAUCAUCAAUCUUCACAAUCUUUGGUCGAAACAAACAGACGACAACAUUUUGAUUGCAAUCAGAAUCACCCUCACAAUAGACGAUAAUAAAAUCUUUCUAAAGCUAAAGCUAAAGCUAAAUCUAAACCCAAAGUCAAAGUAGGCAGAUUAUUUGGACCAAUUAGAAGUCUCAUGCCUGUUAAAGAAGCUGCAAUUACUUCAAAAAAACACAAUAAAACAAAAGCUGAUCCACGAAUUGAUGCCGUUGAUGGGCAAAUCUCUUAUAUUGAUGCUAACAUCAAUCGUUAUCCAUCCAUUUCUUCAUUUAUGAGCGAUGAAACGGCAACAACUAAUUCAGAUUUUUAUAGGGACCGCCGAUUAUCUGUUCUUGAAGACAUUGAAUCUUGGGUAAUCAAAGGUCAUGUCGAUCAAAACCAAAAUGUAGUCAAAAAUAAUAUCAAUAGUCACAUAAGUGCUGCUGCAGUUGAAAAUUUAUCCGCUAAUCUGCCAAAGGUUGAUCAAAGGAAUAAAGAUGUUAAUAAAAGUAUAGAUAAUGAAACUGAAGUAAAGACUAUCAAAAAAGGUCAUCCUGGAGUAAUCUUGGUCACUCCCGAAAUCAAUGGUAUUCCUCUGACUAAUGGUCAUCAUAAUGGUUACCGAAGUUCAGCCAAAGACGAAAUUGAAAUGGUUAGUAAAGUGAUUCCAGUUUUAGACGAAUCGUUUACAAGUUCAUCCACAACAAUUGAAGGCAACAACAGAUCAACAAUUACCAAAACCACAAGUAAAAAGGUUACCGUUACCGAGGUUUCAAAAAGAAAAGAGAACAGAAUUGCUGCUGUAUGAAAUUUGGUGUUCAUCUACAAAUCUCUACAAUGAAUAUUAAUGGGGCAAGAUCAAUUAUCUACCUUAAUUAUUACCAAUUCAAGUUUCGGUUGAUAACAACGGAGUGCCUGGUAACUACCCUUUGAACAAAUGUUUAAAAUUUUGUGCCAAGUUCCAUAAAUCUAAUCACAAACAACUGGAGCAACCUACCUGAUGGAUUGGAUAAAAAAGGCUUGAUCAAACAGCAAAUCACAUUAACAAUUUGAUAAGCAUAAUUAGUUUUAAUUGACCAUAGAGCCGGUGAUGUUACUCUGAAUGAUUCAUAAAACUGGUUUCCUGCUGCAUUAGUUUAUACACCCAUCCACAUUCAUUCUUCACAUUCAUUCUCAGAAUUUUCGAUUUUUUUUGUACAAUUCUUGAUAUUUAUAAUUGUGAUCUUUACCAGCAACUUAAUUACAUCAGUCAAUUAUUCAACAUUCAACAAUAUAACAUGUGUGUAUCACACUCAUUGAGGGGACCAAACACAGAAUGACAUAUUUUCAACGCUGUACCUCACAAAACACUAGUUUUUAAUGGCGUGCCGUUUUUCCUAAACAAUCUUCUAUUCGAAGUUCAAUCCCAAAGUUAUAGUAUGCACUGAAAAUCUAUACCAAUCAUAACCCAAAUUAACCAAAUGACUAAAUGAUUGUAACAAUCGACUAUGCAACCAAUAAAUGAAUGUAUAUUACAACCAAUAUAUUGCCAUCUAGCGGACUUGUUUCACAGCUCGAUGUACAUUUAACCCAAAUUGAAUAAUUAAAUUGUAAAUUAUUUUCAAUCGA